rnacentral:misc_RNA from 1 species
GAUGAAGAACGUAGCGAAAUGCGAUAAGUAGUGUGAAUUGCAGAAUUCAGUGAAUCAUCGAAUCUUUGAACGCACAUUGCGCCCUUUGGUAUUCCUUAGGGCAUGCCUGUUCGAGCGUCAUUUAAACCUUCAAGCUCAGCUUGGUGUUGGGUGACUGUCCGCCGCCUCCGGGCGGUCGGACUCGCCUCAAAUUGAUUGGCGGCCGGUACUUUGGCUUCGAGCGCAGCAGAAACGCGAACUCGAGGCCGUCGUCCUGGCUCCCAGAAGCUAUCUUCACAAUUUUGACCUCGGAUCAGGUAGGGAUACCCGCUGAACUUAAGAAUAUCAAUAAGCGGAGGA